UGCCUAGCACAGGACCUGCACGUGCGGAGCAAUCCAAAACUGCGAGCCAUUGUUACAGUGUUGAGAAUCAUCAUAUCAUUAUCCACACAUGGAAGUCCCACGACCGAGGAAUCUGAAAUAUCAACGAUCAGUUGCUCCCAGCAGAGACAGCAGUAGUGAAUGAAUCAUGGACGUACAGGGAAGAGCAGGUGUUUUGGAUCACCUUCCUCUGUAGACGGACUUUUCUAGAAUGGAAGUUGGUGAGAGAGGAACCCUUUCUGGAGGUCACCCCUGAGAACCAACAGCUCAGAACAGAGGUGACGGAGGCUGGGAGCUCCAGUGCGACUGGUUCCAUGAGUCAACAGGACGCUGGCAUCACUUCGGUCUCUGCUUUGAAUCCGUGCCUCAUCCCUUUCCCCUGUGUGCGGCUGUCUUGUCUCUGCUUUGAAUGUGGCCUGUGGAGAGAAAUCCACCAACCUGCUAAAGAUUUAGAGGGAUG